GAUGAACGCUAGCGGGAGGCUUAACACAUGCAAGUCGAGGGGCAGCACUAUGUAGCAAUACGUUGGUGGCGACCGGCGCACGGGUGAGUAACACGUAUGUAACCUACCCUGUACAGGGGGAUAACCCGGAGAAAUUCGGACUAAUACCCCAUAAUGAUACUUAGUGGCAUCACUGGAUAUUUAAAGCUGAGGCGGUACGGGAUGGGCAUGCGGAACAUUAGCUAGUUGGCAGGGUAACGGCCUACCAAGGCUACGAUGUUUAGGGGUCCUGAGAGGGUGAUCCCCCACACUGGUACUGAGACACGGACCAGACUCCUACGGGAGGCAGCAGUGAGGAAUAUUGGUCAAUGGGCGGAAGCCUGAACCAGCCAUCCCGCGUGCAGGAAGACGGCCCUAUGGGUUGUAAACUGCUUUUCCAGGGGGUGAAUUUUCCGGUCGUGACCGGGAUUGACGGUACCCUGGGAAUAAGCAUCGGCUAACUCCGUGCCAGCAGCCGCGGUAACAC
rnacentral:rRNA from 1 species